AACUAAAUUAAAUAAGAAUGGAAAAGAAAAAAAAAUCUUAAUUCUCUAUAUACGUAACAAUCUACAUAAAUGUAUAUAUCCUUUGAAGUUGGAAAACAGAAGCUUUACCAAUUAUUUGGUUAAAGUGAGGGGAAAAAAGGGCAGAAAGAAUCAAUGUGUUGUAGUUAGGAAUUAAUCAAGAAGGCUGUUUGCCAGAGCUUAGGACGGAGUCCUCUAGAAAUUGGGUAAGUUGUGAAGUGUACAAUUCUG
rnacentral:misc_RNA from 1 species